rnacentral:rRNA from 1 species
AUUGAACGCUGGAGGCAGGCCUAACACAUGCAAGUCGAACGAGUGGCGGACGGGUGAGUAAUGUCUGGGAAACUGCCUGAUGGAGGGGGAUAACUACUGGAAACGGUAGCUAAUACCGCAUACCAUCGGAUGUGCCCAGAUGGGAUUAGCUUGUUGGUGGGGUAACGGAUCACCAAGGCGACGAUCCCUAGCUGGUCGGAGAGGAUGACCGGCCACGCUGGAGCUGAGACAAGGUCCAGACUCUGAAGGGAGGCAGAAGUGGGGAAGAUGGCACAAGGGGCGCAAGCCUGAUGCAGCCAUGCCGCGUGGAUGAUGAAGGCGUUCGGGUUGUAAAGUACGUUCAGCGGGGAGGCGUUACCCGCAGAAGAAGCACCGGCUAACUCCGUGCCAGCAGCCGCGGUAAUUC